GAUGAACGCUGGCGGCGUGCCUAAUACAUGCAAGUCGAGCGAACAGACGAGGAGCUUGCUCCUCUGACGUUAGCGGCGGACGGGUGAGUAACACGUGGAUAACCUACCUAUAAGACUGGGAUAACUUCGGGAAACCGGAGCUAAUACCGGAUGACAUGUUGAACCGCAUGGUUUAACAGUGAAAGACGGUCUUGCUGUCACUUAUAGAUGGAUCCGCGCCGCAUUAGCUAGUUGGUAAGGUAACGGCUUACCAAGGCAACGAUGCGUAGCCGACCUGAGAGGGUGAUCGGCCACACUGGAACUGAGACACGGUCCAGACUCCUACGGGAGGCAGCAGUAGGGAAUCUUCCGCAAUGGGCGAAAGCCUGACGGAGCAACGCCGCGUGAGUGAAGAAGGUCUUCGGAUCGUAAAACUCUGUUAUUAGGGAAGAACAAAUGUGUAAGUAACUAUGCACGUCUUGACGGUACCUAAUCAGAAAGCCACGGCUAACUACGUG
rnacentral:rRNA from 1 species